AUUGAACGCUGGCGGCAGGCCUAACACAUGCAAGUCGAACGAGUGGCGGACGGGUGAGUAAUGUCUGGGAAACUGCCCGAUGGAGGGGGAUAACUACUGGAAACGGUAGCUAAUACCGCAUACCAUCGGAUGUGCCAAGAUGGGCUUAGCGAGGAGGUGGGGUAAUGGCUCACCUAGGCGACGAUCCCUAGCUGGUCUGAGAGGAUGACCAGACACACUGGAACUGAGAAACGGUCCAGACUCCUACGGGAGGCAGCAGUGGGGAUGAUUGCAAAAUGGGCGCAAGCCUGAUGCAGCCAUGCCGCGUGUAUGAAGAAGGCCUUCGGUUUGUAAAGUACUUUCAGCGGGGAGGCGUUACCCGCAGAAGAAGCACCGGCUAACUCCGUGCCAGCAGCCGCGGUAAUAC
rnacentral:rRNA from 1 species